UACGGGGGGGGCAAGCGUUGUUCGGAAUUACUGGGCGUAAAGGGCUCGUAGGCGGCCAACUAAGUCGGAUGUGAAAUCCCCAGGCUUAACCUGGGAACUGCAUCCGAUACUGGAUGGCUUGAAUCCGGGAGAGGGAUGCGGAAUUCCGGGUGUAGCGGUGGAAUGCGUAGAGAUCCGGAAGAACACCGGUGGCGAAGGCGGCCUGCUGGGCUAUGGCUGACACUGAGGCGCGACAGCGUGGGGAGCAAACAGG
rnacentral:rRNA from 1 species